rnacentral:rRNA from 1 species
GACGAACGCUGGCGGCGUGCCUAAUACAUGCAAGUCGAACGAACUCUGGUAUUGAUUGGUGCUUGCAUCAUGAUUUUCAUUUGAGUGAGUGGCGAACUGGUGAGUAACACGUGGGAAACCUGCCCAGAAGCGGGGAUAACACCUGGAAACAGAUGCUAAUACCGGCAUAACAGCUUGGACCGCAUGGUCCGAGCUUGAAAGAUGGCUUCGGCUA